rnacentral:rRNA from 1 species
CCUACGGGAGGCAGCAGUGAGGAAUAUUGGUCAAUGGGCGUAAGCCUGAACCAGCCAAGUCGCGUGAGGGAUGAAGGUUCUAUGGAUCGUAAACCUCUUUUAUAAGGGAAUAAAGUGUGGGACGUGUCCUGUUUUGUAUGUCCCUUAUGAAUAAGGAUCGGCUAACUCCUUGCCAGCAGCCGCGGUAAUACGGUGGAUCCGAGCGUUAUCCGGAUUUAUUGGGUUUAAAGGGUGCGUAGGCGGCCUUUUAAGUCAGCGGUGAAAGUCUGUGGCUCAACCAUAGAAUUGCCGUUGAAACUGGGAGGCUUGAGUAUGUUUGAGGCAGGCGGAAUGCGUGGUGUAGCGGUGAAAUGCUUAGAUAUCACGCAGAACCCCGAUUGCGAAGGCAGCCUGCCAAGCCAUGACUGACGCUGAUGCACGAAAGCGUGGGGAUCAAACAGGAUUAGAUACCCGUGUAGUC